rfam:Gymnopus luxurians FD-317 M1 unplaced genomic scaffold GYMLTscaffold_21, whole genome shotgun sequence.
ACUGGCGUGGCAGAAGGGUAACUGCGUAGCUUUCCAAUGACCUCCUUGACAAUAGCAUAGCUAUUGAUAACAUGGUCAUAGCUAAGGUUGCGGGUUCAAGUCCCGUCGUCAGUA